rnacentral:rRNA from 1 species
UGCAGUCGAGCGGUAGAGAGAAGCUUGCUUCUCUUGAGAGCGGCGGACGGGUGAGUAAUGCCUAGGAAUCUGCCUGGUAGUGGGGGAUAACGUUCGGAAACGGACGCUAAUACCGCAUACGUCCUACGGGAGAAAGCAGGGGACCUUCGGGCCUUGCGCUAUCAGAUGAGCCUAGGUCGGAUUAGCUAGUUGGUGAGGUAAUGGCUCACCAAGGCGACGAUCCGUAACUGGUCUGAGAGGAUGAUCAGUCACACUGGAACUGAGACACGGUCCAGACUCCUACGGGAGGCAGCAGUGGGGAAUAUUGGACAAUGGGCGAAAGCCUGAUCCAGCCAUGCCGCGUGUGUGAAGAAGGUCUUCGGAUUGUAAAGCACUUUAAGUUGGGAGGAAGGGUUGUAGAUUAAUACUCUGCAAUUUUGACGUUACCGACAGAAUAAGCACCGGCUAACUCUGUGCCAGCAGCCGCGGUAAUACAGAGGGUGCAAGCGUUAAUCGGAAUUACUGGGCGUAAAGCGCGCGUAGGUGGUUUGUUAAGUUGGAUGUGAAAUCCCCGGGCUCAACCUGGGAACUGCAUUCAAAACUGACUGACUAGAGUAUGGUAGAGGGUGGUGGAAUUUCCUGUGUAGCGGUGAAAUGCGUAGAUAUAGGAAGGAACACCAGUGGCGAAGGCGACCACCUGGAC